AAGUUGGGGCUGUUCAGCCUGGAGAAGAGAAGGCUGCGUGGAGACCACAUAGCAGCCUUCCAGUAUCUGAAGGGGUCCUAUAGGGAUGCUGGGGAGGGACUCUUCAUUAGGGACUGUAGUGACAGGACAAGGGGUAAUGGGUUAAAACUGAAACAGGGGAAGUUUAGAUUGGAUAUAAGGAGGAAAUUCUUUCCUGUGAGGGUGGUGAGGCACUGGAAUGGGUUGCCCAGGGAGGUUGUGAAUGCUCCAUCCUCGGCAGUGUUCAAGGCCAGGUUGGACAGAGCCUUGGGUGAUAUGGUUUAGUGUGAGGUGUCCCUGCCUAUGGCAGGGGGGUUCGAACUGGAUGAUCUUAAGGUCCUUUCCAACCCGAACUAUUCUGUGAGUCUAUGAUUGUCACUGAAUCAGUAGCUUUUCCCCAUAAGCCUGUUCUGAAUGUUCUGGUGUGACACAAAACUGAACUGGUUUUAUGUUACUGACUCACACAGAGACCAGUGUUCUGCAACCCCUUCAAAGGACAGUGGAGAAGUCACUGGUGAAGCGUCUCAAGAGCUCAAAGUGGAAGUUCUUACAGCGUGUUCUCUGCAUGGGCAGGUUAUUUUCUUACCAAGUUGCAGAUUUUUAGUUUUAUACAUGUUUUUAAGACUGGGAAAGCCAACAUCCAUCUAGAGCCUUGCUUUUCACAGUGGCAUCUCGGGUCCGGUCCUACCAUCCCACGGGAUUUGUAAUAAAACCUUUUUGCAAGUGUGGAAACCGCAUCAUCUUGUAUUACCUUUAGAAUCACUCCGGCUCAGGUUAGACAGACACUGAAAGAAAACCCCUCAUUCUUUAGAGCUUUUAGUUCCAUGUGACUGACAAAGCUAUUCUCACCCUAACGUAGGAGACCUUACAAAGUGCAGGUAGGAGGUUACAGCGAAGAAAAUGCACCUUUACCUUCCACGUGGCACAUAACGUCGCUUUGCCGAGUUCACUGACGACGCCAUGCACUCCAUACACUGAUUUGCUAUAUGCACCUCUCCCAUCUCAUGCUUAAUGAUGAUUUCUAGUCAAUAAAUACUGCAGUGAUUUUCUAUUACUUGCUAUUUCCUGAGUCCGUAUGAUUUCCAUUAAGCGGCAGUUACGUUCUUGGGUUUAGAGCUAUUAGGAAACACUAUUCCUGUGGGGUAGCACUUGUUUUCUUCAAGACAGAAAAAGUCACUGUAAAAAUAGUUUAAAAAUCAGGAUAAACUGAAACAAAAUCAUGAUUAAAACUGGAAAACCCUA